rnacentral:rRNA from 1 species
AUUCAAGAUUGUUGCAGUUAAAAAGCUCGUAGUUGGAUUUCGGGUGGGUUUUAGCGGUCCGCCUAUGGUGAGUACUGCUAUGGCCUUCCUUACUGUCGGGGACCUGCUUCUGGGCUUCAUUGUCCGGGACAGGGAUUCGGCAUGGUUACUUUGAGUAAAUUAGAGUGUUCAAAGCAGGCUUACGCCGUGAAUACUUUAGCAUGGAAUAACAUGAUAGGACUCUGCCCUAUUCUGUUGGCCUGUAGGUGUGGAGUAAUGAUUAAGAGGAACAGUCGGGGGCAUUCGUAUUUCAUUGUCAGAGGUGAAAUUCUUGGAUUUAUGAAAGACGAACUACUGCGAAAGCAUUUGCCAAGGAUGUUUUCAUUAAUCAAGAACGAAAGUUGGGGGCUCGAAGA